rnacentral:rRNA from 1 species
UGGGGAAUUUUGGACAAUGGGGGCAACCCUGAUCCAGCCAUGCCGCGUGUGGGAAGAAGGCCUUCGGGUUGUAAACCACUUUUGUCGGGGAAGAAAUCUUCUGGGCUAAUACCCUGGGGGGAUGACGGUACCCGAAGAAUAAGCACCGGCUAACUACGUGCCAGCAGCCGCGGUAAUACGUAGGGUGCGAGCGUUAAUCGGAAUUACUGGGCGUAAAGCGUGCGCAGGCGGUUGUGCAAGACAGAUGUGAAAUCCUCGGGCUUAACCUGAGAACUGCAUAUGUGACUGCACGGCUAGAGUACGGCAGAGGGGGGUGGAAUUCCGCGUGUAGCAGUGAAAUGCGUAGAUAUGCGGAGGAACACCGAUGGCGAAGGCAGCCCCCUGGGCCUGUACUGACGCU